UACGUAGGGUGCGAGCGUUGUCCGGAAUUAUUGGGCGUAAAGGGCUCGUAGGCGGUCUGUUGCGUCAGGAGUGAAAACUCGGGGCUUAACUCCGAAACUGCAUUCGAUACUGCCGUGCUUGAGGACUGGAGAGGAGACUGGAAUUUACGGUGUAGCGGUGAAAUGCGUAGAUAUCGUAAGGAAGACCAGUGGCGAAGGCGGGUCUCUGGACAGUUCCUGACGCUGAGGCACGAAGGCCAGGGGAGCAAACGGG
rnacentral:rRNA from 1 species